GGCUCCGAGGAGGUAAGGGGGCCCUGCCGGCAUUGGGAGUGGGCGCCGGAAGAACCUUGGACCUGCUGACCUGAAGACCCCGAGAAAAAAAGGCGGGGAAGCUGAGGGGUCUGGAUAAGGCCAGAAUUAAGGAAGGCAACAGCAGGUGACUUGGAAUAGUGUGAAGGGGGCCCGAGAGCCCGUUCCCUCAUUCGUUCAUGCCGCAUCAAAAGGUGGUUAAGAGGCUGCUCUUCAGUCACACUGCUGGAAGUCUUUUCGGGCUCCCUCGCUUAUUCACCAUGUGCUCUCCAGCAUCAGUCACAUUGGAAUAAGAGCACCUGCCUCACGGGAUCCUUGGGACGAUGGAAAGAAACAGCGUGGAGAGGGGCAGAAGUUUGGCCAGGAACAUACAGCUGGCUGAGAAGAAGAGGCCCCGAGGUUCCCUAUCCAGCCUGUGGCAGCUGGAGGGAGACGGCACCCACUGAAUUGCUUCCUCAUGUCUGCCUGGCCCAGGCCUGGGAGAUACGGAGAUGGAGGAGACACAGGCUCUGCUCAGUGCCAGAGACAAGCAUAUACAAAGACAGAAGGGAACAUCCUGUUCAGAGAAGAGGACUCCACAUCCCUGAUCUCAGUGGUGGCCGGGCCCACAUCAGAGCUCAUAGCUGCUCAUGCUGUGUUACAAAGCCCUGAGGAGGAGACAGACAGGAAAACAUCACUAACAUGGAAGGUACCAGGAAAGAGUCAUAUAAUGGAAUACCAUACAGCAGUGAAAAAGAACAUGGCCACAUGUAACGUGUAACAACAUGGGUGACUCUCCCAGAUGUGAUGUUGAGUGAGGGAAAUACAGCACAAAGAAAGAACAUACUAUGGCAUGCUAUAUUUAUAUUCCAUGAAUAUGAACUUCAAAAACAUGUGGAACCAACCUACAGGGAGAGAAGUCAAAAUAGUAGUUUCCCUUGGGGCAGGGAUUACUGAUUGGGAAGAGGCACACAAGAGCCUUCUGGAGUGCUGAAAAUGGUCUAUAUCUUGACCUAGGUGGUGGUUACAGAGGCUGAUACAUAUGUAAGGAUUCAUGGAGCUGUAUGCUUAAGAUUAGUGCACUUUAAUGUAUGGAAAUUAUGCCUCAAUAGAAAAAGUAUUUUUAAAAACCAAAAGUGCCAAGAGCUUUCCCCAGAUCUUUGCAUAACUGGCUUCUUGUCAUUCAGGCCAUCCCCUAAAUAUCACCUCUUCAAAGAGGCCUUCCCUGGUCCCCCCUGCACCUAAUCGAAUUGAGCAACACUCCCCACCUCUGUGCCUCAGUUGCUCUCUAUUCUAUUAACUGGUUUUCUUUUCCUUUUAGUAUGUACCAGUGUGCUAGAGCUGGCUUUCACUGGCUCUUCCCAACUCAGUAUUCAAUGACUUCACACUGCCAGCUUGAGAUCAGCCGUGAUGGGAAUGUCGGCACCACGGAAGUCAGCAGGUGCUGCAGAUGCCCUCCUCCAAGCAGAUCACUCAGCAUUUUCCAGUACACCCUGUACACAACACUAUUUGAAAUCAUCUUAUGUAUUUGUCAGCAUACUGAUCUGCUGUAUGUCUCCUCCACAUGAAGUUUCAUGAGGGCAGGGUCUAUGGCUUGUCAUUUUUGCCACUGUAUCCCUGGUUCCUAGAACAAUGCUUGUUGUAUAGUAGGUAUUCAAUACAUGCUGCUUGAAUGAAUAAAAGUCUGACAGAAACACUGG
rnacentral:lncRNA from 10 species